rnacentral:rRNA from 1 species
UACGUAGGGUGCGAGCGUUAAUCGGAAUUACUGGGCGUAAAGCGUGCGCAGGCGGUUUUGUAAGCCAGAUGUGAAAUCCCCGGGCUUAACCUGGGAAUGGCAUUUGGGACUGCAAGGCUUGAGUGCGGCAGAGGAGACUGGAAUUCCCGGUGUAGCAGUGAAAUGCGUAGAUAUCGGGAGGAAUACCGAUGGCGAAGGCAGGUCUCUGGGCCGAUACUGACGCUGAGGAGCGAAAGCGUGGGUAGCAAACAGG